rnacentral:rRNA from 1 species
AUUGAACGCUGGCGGCAGGCCUAACACAUGCAAGUCGAACGGUAACAGGAAGCAGCUUGCUGCUUUGCUGACGAGUGGCGGACGGGUGAGUAAUGUCUGGGAAACUGCCCGAUGGAGGGGGAUAACUACUGGAAACGGUAGCUAAUACCGCAUAACGUCGCAAGACCAAAGAGGGGGACCUUAGGGCCUCUUGCCAUCGGAUGUGCCCAGAUGGGAUUGGCUAGUAGGUGGGGUAACGGCUCACCUAGGCGACGAUCGCUAGCUGGUCUGAGAGUAUGGCCGGCCGCACUGGAGCUGGGACACGGUCCAGACUCCUACGGGAGGCAGCAGUGGGGAAUAUUGCACAGUGGGCGCAAGCCUGGUGCAGCCAUGCCGCGUGUAUGAAGGAGGCCUUCGGGUUGUAAAGUACUUUCAGCGGGGAGGAAGGGAGUAAAGUUAAUACCUUUGCUCAUUGACGUUACCCGCAGAAGAAGCACCGGCUAACUCCGUG